UUUACUGGGGGGAGGGGAGGUGUGGGGGUGUAAAGAAAAAUCAAGAAAGGGGUCCCAAUUUCCCCAUCUCGGGGGCCCCGGAAUGCUGGAAUUGUGGAACUUGUUAAAUAUUACGGAAUAUUCUGAAACAUUGAGGUCGAAAAAGGUCUGAAAAAGAAAGUUGUUUUUGAGGUGCCCCCCAACCGCUCUCCUAGAUCAUGCUGGAUCCAUCCCUGAGGUAAAUUUGCGAAAAAUAUUGUGUUUUAUUUUUAUUAAAAUGCUACAUUUGCCCCCCUCCUGCAGGAAAGAAGAUAUCUUUCACCUACAUUCCGUCGCCCCCUGAUACCAUACUAUACAUUCUAAUUUACAUUCUAAAGUUUGAAUUUUUCUCGUGUUUUAUUUAAUAA